UCGAGGAUCUUCGGCAAUGGGGGCAACCCUGACCGAGCGACGCCGCGUGGGCGAUGAAGGCCUUCGGGUUGUAAAGCCCUGUCGAGAGGGAGAAAAGCGCAAGCUUGAUCUAUCUCUGGAGGAAGCACGGGCUAAGUUCGUGCCAGCAGCCGCGGUAAGACGAACCGUGCGAACGUUGUUCGGAAUCACUGGGCUUAAAGGGCGCGUAGGCGGGCUGCCAAGUCUGUGGUGAAAUCCUCCAGCUUAACUGGAGAACUGCCGUGGAUACUGGCGGCCUCGAGGGUGAUAGGGGUCGGUGGAACUGUGCGUGGAGCGGUGAAAUGCGUUGAUAUGCACAGGAACUCCGGUGGCGAAGGCGACCGACUGGAUCACUUCUGACGCUGAGGCGCGAAAGCCAGGGGAGCGAACGG
rnacentral:rRNA from 1 species